rnacentral:rRNA from 1 species
CUACGCACUCCUACGGGAGCAGCAGUGGGGAAUAUUGCACAAUGGGCGCAAGCCUGAUGCAGCCAUGCCGCGUGUAUGAAGAAGGCCUUCGGGUUGUAAAGUACUUUCAGCAGUGAGGAAGGUGGGUAUGUUAAUAGCAUAUUCAUUUGACGUUAGCUGCAGAAGAAGCACCGGCUAACUCCGUGCCAGCAGCCGCGGUAAUACGGAGGGUGCGAGCGUUAAUCGGAAUUACUGGGCGUAAAGCGCAUGCAGGUGGUUUGUUAAGUCAGAUGUGAAAGCCCGGGGCUCAACCUCGGAAUUGCAUUUGAAACUGGCAAACUAGAGUACUGUAGAGGGGGUAGAAUUUCAGGUGUAGCGGUGAAAUGCGUAGAGAUCUGAAGGAAUACCGGUGGCGAAGGCGGCCCCCCUGGACAGAUACUGACACUCAGAUGCGAAAGCGUGGGGAGCAAACAGGAUUAGAUACCCUGGUAG